rnacentral:rRNA from 1 species
UUAAGUUAUUAAGGGCGCACGGUGGAUGCCUUGGCACUAGAAGCCGAUGAAGGACGUUACUAACGACGAUAUGCUUUGGGGAGCUGUAAGUAAGCUUUGAUCCAGAGAUUUCCGAAUGGGGAAACCCAGCAUGAGUUAUGUCAUGUUAUCGAUAUGUGAAUACAUAGCAUAUCAGAAGGCACACCCGGAGAACUGAAACAUCUUAGUACCCGGAGGAAGAGAAAGAAAAUUCGAUUCCCUUAGUAGCGGCGAGCGAAACGGGAAGAGCCCAAACCAACAAGCUUGCUUGUUGGGGUUGUAGGACACUCUAUACGGAGUUACAAAGGACGACAUUAGACGAAUCAUCUGGAAAGAUGAAUCAAAGAAGGUAAUAAUCCUGUAGUCGAAAAUGUUGUCUCUCUUGAGUGGAUCCUGAGUACGACGGAGUACGUGAAAUUCCGUCGGAAUCUGGGAGGACCAUCUCCUAAGGCUAAAUACUCUCUAGUGACCGAUAGUGAACCAGUACCGUGAGGGAAAGGUGAAAAGCACCCCGGAAGGGGAGUGAAAUAGAACCUGAAACCGUGUGCUUACAAGUAGUCAGAGCCCGUUAAUGGGUGAUGGCGUGCCUUUUGUAGAAUGAACCGGCGAGUUACGAUUUGAUGCAAGGUUAAGCAGUAAAUGUGGAGCCGUAGCGAAAGCGAGUCUGAAUAGGGCGUUUAGUAUUUGGUCGUAGACCCGAAACCAGGUGAUCUACCCUUGGUCAGGUUGAAGUUCAGGUAACACUGAAUGGAGGACCGAACCGACUUACGUUGAAAAGUGAGCGGAUGAACUGAGGGUAGCGGAGAAAUUUCAAUCGAACCUGGAGAUAGCUGGUUCUCUCCGAAAUAGCUUUAGGGCUAGCCUCAAGUGAUGAUUAUUGGAGGUAGAGCACUGUUUGGACGAGGGGCCCCUCUCGGGUUACCGAAUUCAGACAAACUCCGAAUGCCAAUUAAUUUAACUUGGGAGUCAGAACAUGGGUGAUAAGGUCCGUGUUCGAAAGGGAAACAGCCCAGACCACCAGCUAAGGUCCCAAAAUAUAUGUUAAGUGGAAAAGGAUGUGGCGUUGCCCAGACAACUAGGAUGUUGGCUUAGAAGCAGCCAUCAUUUAAAGAGUGCGUAAUAGCUCACUAGUCGAGUGACACUGCGCCGAAAAUGUACCGGGGCUAAACAUAUUACCGAAGCUGUGGAUUGUCCUUUGGACAAUGGUAGGAGAGCGUUCUAAGGGCGUUGAAGCAUGAUCGUAAGGACAUGUGGAGCGCUUAGAAGUGAGAAUGCCGGUGUGAGUAGCGAAAGACGGGUGAGAAUCCCGUCCACCGAUUGACUAAGGUUUCCAGAGGAAGGCUCGUCCGCUCUGGGUUAGUCGGGUCCUAAGCUGAGGCCGACAGGCGUAGGCGAUGGAUAACAGGUUGAUAUUCCUGUACCACCUAUAAUCGUUUUAAUCGAUGGGGGGACGCAGUAGGAUAGGCGAAGCGUGCGAUUGGAUUGCACGUCUAAGCAGUAAGGCUGAGUAUUAGGCAAAUCCGGUACUCGUUAAGGCUGAGCUGUGAUGGGGAGAAGACAUUGUGUCUUCGAGUCGUUGAUUUCACACUGCCGAGAAAAGCCUCUAGAUAGAAAAUAGGUGCCCGUACCGCAAACCGACACAGGUAGUCAAGAUGAGAAUUCUAAGGUGAGCGAGCGAACUCUCGUUAAGGAACUCGGCAAAAUGACCCCGUAACUUCGGGAGAAGGGGUGCUCUUUAGGGUUAACGCCCAGAAGAGCCGCAGUGAAUAGGCCCAAGCGACUGUUUAUCAAAAACACAGGUCUCUGCUAAACCGUAAGGUGAUGUAUAGGGGCUGACGCCUGCCCGGUGCUGGAAGGUUAAGAGGAGUGGUUAGCUUCUGCGAAGCUACGAAUCGAAGCCCCAGUAAACGGCGGCCGUAACUAUAACGGUCCUAAGGUAGCGAAAUUCCUUGUCGGGUAAGUUCCGACCCGCACGAAAGGCGUAACGAUUUGGGCACUGUCUCAACGAGAGACUCGGUGAAAUCAUAGUACCUGUGAAGAUGCAGGUUACCCGCGACAGGACGGAAAGACCCCGUGGAGCUUUACUGUAGCCUGAUAUUGAAAUUCGGCACAGCUUGUACAGGAUAGGUAGGAGCCUUUGAAACGUGAGCGCUAGCUUACGUGGAGGCGCUGGUGGGAUACUACCCUAGCUGUGUUGGCUUUCUAACCCGCACCACUUAUCGUGGUGGGAGACAGUGUCAGGCGGGCAGUUUGACUGGGGCGGUCGCCUCCUAAAAGGUAACGGAGGCGCUCAAAGGUUCCCUCAGAAUGGUUGGAAAUCAUUCAUAGAGUGUAAAGGCAUAAGGGAGCUUGACUGCGAGACCUACAAGUCGAGCAGGGUCGAAAGACGGACUUAGUGAUCCGGUGGUUCCGCAUGGAAGGGCCAUCGCUCAACGGAUAAAAGCUACCCCGGGGAUAACAGGCUUAUCUCCCCCAAGAGUUCACAUCGACGGGGAGGUUUGGCACCUCGAUGUCGGCUCAUCGCAUCCUGGGGCUGUAGUCGGUCCCAAGGGUUGGGCUGUUCGCCCAUUAAAGCGGUACGCGAGCUGGGUUCAGAACGUCGUGAGACAGUUCGGUCCCUAUCCGUCGUGGGCGUAGGAAAUUUGAGAGGAGCUGUCCUUAGUACGAGAGGACCGGGAUGGACAUACCUCUGGUGUACCAGUUGUCGUGCCAACGGCAUAGCUGGGUAGCUAUGUGUGGACGGGAUAAGUGCUGAAAGCAUCUAAGCAUGAAGCCCCCCUCAAGAUGAGAUUUCCCAACUUCGGUUAUAAGAUCCCUCAAAGAUGAUGAGGUUAAUAGGUUCGAGGUGGAAGCAUGGUGACAUGUGGAGCUGACGAAUACUAAUCGAUCGAAGACUUAAUCAA